GACUGGAUAGCCUAGUGGUCAAAGGCAGCACUUCUAGCAAUGAUGAGGUCACAGGUUCAAAUCCUGGUCUAGUCA
rnacentral:tRNA from 1 species